AACGAACGCUGGCGGCAGGCCUAACACAUGCAAGUCGAGCGCGCCCUUCGGGGUGAGCGGCGGACUGGUGAGUAACGCGUGGGAACGUUCCCUUUUCUACGGAAUAGCCUCGGGAAACUGAGAGUAAUACCGUAUACGCCCUUUGGGGGAAUGAUUUAUCGGAAAAGGAUCGGCCCGCGUUGGAUUAGGUAGUUGGUGGGGUAAUGGCCUACCAAGCCGACGAUUCAUAGCUGGUUUGAGAGGAUGAUCAGCCACACUGGGACUGAGACACGGCCCAGACUCCUACGGGAGGCAGCAGUGGGGAAUCUUAGACAAUGGGGGCAACCCUGAUCUAGCCAUGCCGCGUGAGUGAUGAAGGCCUUAGGGUUGUAAAGCUCUUUCAGCUGGGAAGAUAAUGACGGUACCAGCAGAAGAAGCCCCGGCUAACUACGUG
rnacentral:rRNA from 1 species